rnacentral:rRNA from 1 species
GACGUAGGGCGCGAGCGUUGUCCGGAUUUAUUGGGCGUAAAGAGCUCGUAGGCGGCUCGUUGCGUCGGCUGUGAAAACCCACAGCUUAACUGUGGGCCUGCAGCCGAUACGGGCGAGCUAGAGUUCGGUAGGGGGAGACUGGAAUUCCGUGGUGUAGCGGUGAAAUGCGCAGAUAUCAGGAGGAACACCGGUGGCGAAGGCGGGUCUCUGGGCCGUAACUGACGCUGAGGAGCGAAAGCAUGGGGAGCGAACAGG